rnacentral:rRNA from 1 species
UACGUAGGGGGCAAGCGUUGUCCGGAAUCAUUGGGCGUAAAGAGCGUGUAGGCGGCCCGAUAAGUCCGCUGUGAAAGUCCAGGGCUCAACCCUGGGAUGCCGGUGGAUACUGUCGGGCUCGAGUCCGGAAGAGGAGUGUGGAAUUCCUGGUGUAGCGGUGAAAUGCGCAGAUAUCAGGAGGAACACCAAUGGCGAAGGCAGCUCGCUGGGACGGUACUGACGCUGAGACGCGAAAGCGUGGGGAGCAAACAGG